rnacentral:lncRNA from 1 species
GGAUGGUAGCUGUCUUGUAAACGGGCUGCAAAGAGUGAUGAGGUACGGGAGUGCUCUGGGAAAAAGUUUCCUACUGGAAGUGAUUCAGACCUGGUUAGCAAUAGCCAAAUUUCAGAAGUGCCCAGUGAAGAACCCUGCUGUGCAGAUUAGCGACUGUCCUGAGGCUAGAGGCUGAGCAGUGAAAGUGUCUCUAUCCCUGCCUCAAGCCCACUCACUAUGGGGCUGUGGAUAUUAGCAGCUGACCAGCAAAUAGCCUCACAGGGACCAGAAGUGUCUCUGCCUAGGGAAGCACAGUCGUGCUGUGGAAGUUCUAUUGCCCCAGGACGAGCCCCACACUGUGCAGAUUAGAGGCUGUCUUGGCCUGUGUGCCCCCCUGCCAUGCAGAUUUGUAACUGCCCUGAGGAAAAACCCCAUACUGCAGAAUGGGGCUGCACAGCUAUGCUGUGAUCUGUGCUGAGUCCCUUCUGGUUUUGAGUAGGUAUAGCCAGAUCCUGUUAGGUUCUGGCGUUUUUUAGAGUACCCUCUGUCUUUGGCUUUAAUUUCUCCGCUGGUCUGCUGUGUUGCAACGAAGACAGAGCAAUCAGCCUAUGCCAGAGAUGUCUCUAAUUUUUCUAACCACAGAGGCCACCCCCUCUCCCGGUGCACUCCUUUUGCUAGCCUCUCCUAUUUCCCUGUUUGUGCUGAUCUGCUCUGGCCCCUCAGGACAAAACCUUUUCUGAGGAACUUCCAGAUUAUCUUCGGCUGGUAAGUUGUACUUCUAAUCUUCGUGAAUUUUACCAGUGAAGCGCUAUUUUUGAGGCUGAAUUUAAUAAUUGGUCAUGAGGGUAUGAGAGGAGCUUAGAAAGUCGUGUGUGCCUUCUCCGCCAUCUUAGCUCCACCUGUGUGUUUGUUUUUAAACAGUGUGACCAGAAAUAGGAUGCAGACUUCUAAAAGUGUGGACAUCUCUGUAGAGGGCGAGAAGCUGGACUUCAACAGUGGUGCCAAAACAGGAUGGGAACUUCAUAAGUGGAUAGAGCUUCCAUGGAAAGGUGCCUUCUUAGAAGCAGGCAUAUUCAGGUAAGAGGGGAAUUAGAUUAAAAGUGAGGAUAAAGUGGGGGGAAAGGGUGAUCACCAAUAGGCACUUUAUCACUAUAAAUAAUUCAGCAUUAGAAAUAGUUUAUCACCAGGCUGACAGGGGGUGAGGGUGGGGUGGGAGGGGUGAGGAUAUCAAAUAUCAGAUAAAUAUAGAAUAUAAGAUAUCAGAUAUCAGAAAAGAAU